rnacentral:rRNA from 1 species
GAGGGGUGCAAACGUUAUUCGGAUUUAUUGGGUGUAAAGGGUGUGUAGACGGUUUAUUAAGUUCGUUGUUAAAUCUUUCGGCUCAACCGGAAGCUUGCGGUGAAAACUGAUAGACUAGAGGAUGAAAGAGAGGAGUGGAAUUCUCGGAGUAGCGGUAAAAUGCGUAGAUCUCGAGAGGAACACCGAUGGCGAAAGCAGCUCCUUGGUUCAUUCCUGACGUUGAAACACGAAAGCGUGGGGAGCAAACAGGAUUAGAUACCCUGGUAGUCCACGCCGUAAACGAUGAUCACUGGAUGUUAGUAUUGCUUUGCAAUAUUGGUAUCGAAGCUAACGCGUUAAGUGAUCCACCUGGGAACUACGAUC